rnacentral:rRNA from 1 species
AGACGGGGGGUGCUAGCGUUGUUCGGAAUUACUGGGCGUAAAGGGCGCGUAGGCGGCUCUGCGAGUCGGGCGUGAAAUCCCGGGGCUCAACCCCGGAACGGCGCUCGAUACUGCGGGGCUGGAGACCGGAAGAGGAGGGUGGAAUUCCCAGUGUAGAGGUGAAAUUCGUAGAUAUUGGGAGGAACACCGGUGGCGAAAGCGGCUCUCUGGUCCGGUUCUGACGCUGAGGCGCGAAAGCGUGGGGAGCAAACAGGAUUAGAAACCCGAGUAGUCC